AGUGAACGCUGGCGGUAGGCCUAACACAUGCAAGUCGAACGGCAGCACAGUAAGAGCUUGCUCUUACGGGUGGCGAGUGGCGGACGGGUGAGGAAUACAUCGGAAUCUACUUUUUCGUGGGGGAUAGCGUAGGGAAACUUACGCUAAUACCGCAUACGACCUACGGGUGAAAGCAGGGGAUCUUCGGACCUUGCGCGAUUGAAUGAGCCGAUGUCGGAUUAGCUAGUUGGCGGGGUAGAGGCCCACCAAGGCGACGAUCCGUAGCUGGUCUGAGAGGAUGAUCAGCCACACUGGAACUGAGACACGGUCCAGACUCCUACGGGAGGCAGCAGUGGGGAAUAUUGGACAAUGGGCGCAAGCCUGAUCCAGCCAUACCGCGUGGGUGAAGAAGGCCUUCGGGUUGUAAAGCCCUUUUGUUGGGAAAGAAAAGCAGCAGGUUAAUACCCCGCUGUUCUGACGGUACCCAAAGAAUAAGCACCGGCUAACUUCGUG
rnacentral:rRNA from 1 species